CUGGGACGUGAGGAGCGCCUCUGCCCGGCCACGACCCUGUCUGGGAGCUAAAUAAGCACUGGCCUAGAAAUCAGCGAUAUCAAAACAAUUACAACUCAUCCAGCUCUCAGAUGCUUUGAGAAAUUCAGAGGAUAUAUGACAAUAACUGUAAACUAGUGGAGAAGAAAUAGAAAAAAAGAAGGGUACACAGACAAGAUUUGAACAUGGAUAGUUAUUGCUCCGAUCUUCGAUAAAACCAUUUGAAAAUGGACAGAGUGUAAAAUAAACCUGAAAUCAUGAAGUAAAACCUGUUUGGACUAAGUUUACAAUUAAUUAGCUAAAAGUAUGUUGUUGCUCCUAAAUAGAAAAAAGUUUGCGUUAGGAAAGUUCAAUUAAAAAAAUAGAGGACAUCUCUAUAUCUCCCUCAUAUUUGUGGAUUUUGCAAUUUGUAUGCACUGUAGUAUUCCAUAUUUUCCUCAUCUUGCUUGAUGUAUUCUUAUCAUUACUGUACAUGAGUUGAGAGCACAGCAGAGUCAGAUUGCCUGAGUUUAAAUCCUGGCUUGACACCUUAUUAGCUGUGUGACCCAAGGCAGAGAAACUUGGUCUUUCUAUGGCUCAGCUUACUCAUCUGUAAAAUGGAGAUAUUUAGAUUACCUACCUAACAAGUAUAUUAUAAAGAUGUAAACUAAAAACAAAAUCAUAAGCUUCUCCACUUAACAGAGAGGGCAGCCCCAGAAAACAAUAAACUGAAUUUCUGACCAUGUUGGAAUGGGAGGUCAGACAUGCCUCAUUAUCCCCCCUCCCUUUUGUGGUUUAGACACAACAACACAGCACCAUUAAUGUUAAAAUAGAUAUUAUGAGAGACAAAGAAGAUUAUUCGUGGCAAUAAGAUACCAAAUUAUAAACAAGACCUAAGACCAUGCCCAGGAAGGAAGUGUUAAACCACACACCCCUACACUUAAAGAAUAAACUAUGUUCUAACUGCUACAAGGUUUCUCCUUUUCUCUAGCAGCUAAACAAGCAUUGGCAUAGAGAUAAGCAAUAUUAAAACAAUUACAACUCAUCCAGCUCAGGGAAACUGAUUAACUGACUCUGUGUUCCAACAGCCAUAACUAGAGCUUUGAUUGGACAAGAGACUGAUUUCAGUAACUUUGUCCUGAACAGACCACGUUGUCCCAUAGAAGUGAUGUUUAUGGUUUCUUUUGAAUAAACAUAGAAAUUGACCCUCCCACUCUUAAAAUUUGAAAAAAUUACAGUUGUCUUAACUGAGUUCCUUUCUCAGGAUACCAACCAUCAGUCUUCCCAGAUGGUAUCAAGAUCACAGCAUUUGGUCAAUGAGGAGCCAGACCCCUCACCUGUCACGGUUGCCUGACUGUUCACCUGCUUCCUGUUGACCAACUCCUCUUCCUUUUUCUUCCCUAAUUUCUGUUUUUCUGCAUGUAGUUACAUUUCUUUCCUG
rnacentral:lncRNA from 1 species